GAUAUUGGAUCGUUUACAGUAAGCUAGUUGGGCAAUUAGUGGUCUUUGUGAUAGCACUGUGAUAAUGCAUUUGCCUACUAAAACCGGCCGUGGAUACGAUUCGUUUCGUAAUAAAAACCUGCCGUUUGAAGCAAGGCCUGACAGCGGUAGCACAAGCCGCACGAAGUGUUCAGCAUAUGAGGGAUGCGCCUAGGUGUUCCUGACGUAGCAGCCUAGGUGUUGUGCGUUCACUGCGCGAGGAGAACCCAAGCAGUGGCUGGCGCGCUAUUGUUAAACCGGUCAUUUGUCACAUGGAGAGGUUGGCCGUCUCCUACCGCUGCUGUGGCUAUCAGCUACUGAGUGAUCCGUCGCCACCACUUCACUUCAUCCAGUUCACGGUGAGAUGACUUAGUGCGCAAGGACUCAGCAGCGCAGGCUGCUCAAGGUGCAUGGAACGGUCUCGCUCACACAGUCACUCUGUGAUUGUGUAGUCGGUUCGAUUUUUAAACCGAAGUACGCUACAACCACUAAAGUCUUUUCCGUUCCGGGCCUACCUAGUCAUUGUCGGCUAGGACACACGAAGUGUUCAGGGAGUUCAUUCGGGCCUACAUAGCCUUGGCAUCCCAGCGAGUCGAAAUGUCCUUGGUGAGCAAAGACCUGCAUGUUGCGGGGGCGUCGUUCAGCUGCUAUAAAUGACCAUUCGAAUAGGAUUUUUUCGUCAUCUCUCAAGCAGUUCAGUUAAGCUAACCGUACCCAAAGAUAAAUGCAACGUAAGCAGCAUGCGGCCGUAACGAGUUCUAUUGUUGAAGUGCGAACCUUUCUAACUUUAGGACCAUAUUCUAUCCACAUAGCAGUG